rnacentral:rRNA from 1 species
UACGUAGGGAGCAAGCGUUGUCCGGAAUCAUUGGGCGUAAAGCGCGCGUAGGUGGCUUCGUAAGUCCGUUGUGAAAGUCAAAGGCUCAACCUUUGAAAGCCGAUGGAUACUGUGAAGCUAGAGUACGGAAGAGGCGAGUGGAAUUCCUGGUGUAGCGGUGGAAUGCGCAGAUAUCAGGAGGAACACCAAUAGCGAAGGCAGCUCGCUGGGACGUUACUGACACUGAGGCGCGAAAAGCGUGGGGGAGC